UUUCAGUCUCUUUAAUUACAUUUGAUAAAAUUUUAUAAUUUUCUUUUUAAAGAUCAUGCACCUCAUUUGUUAGAUUUAUUCCUAGGUACCUUAUUUUUAUGCUAUUACAAGUUAUAUAAAAGUGAUCUUUUACAAAUUAUAUAUUUUCGCUAUUUGUUGCAGUGUUUAGAAUACUACCAAUUUUUGCAUAUUGAUCUCAAAGCCAUAGCAGAAUAUCAUACUACCUUAUCAUAAUAGCAGACAUUCAUAUAACUUACUAUGUGUCAGGCACUGUUCUAGGCAUUUUACAUGGAUGACAUGCAUUCAAUCUCACAAUGACCCAGUGAGGGAGAUCUUAUUAUUAUAAUUAUUUAUAGUGAGGAAACUGAAGUCCAAAGAAGUGCAGAGAACUUAAGUAGAUUCCAUCAUAAGUGGUGAAGCCAGGAUUCAAACUCAUUCUCCAGCAUCCAGGGCUAUACUCGUGGUACUGCAUUUACUUCUUACUCUUGGUAAGCCCUGUUAUUAAUUCCGAUAAUAUGCCUGUCUAUUCUCAGGUUUUCCAUGCAAACAACGAUAAUAAAUACCUUAAAAUCAGCUAGCAAACACACAAAUGGUUAAUGCCAUAGUAAAGUGUGUAGGAUGUGUGUGUGUGUGUGUGCAGAGUGUGUAUGUAUGGGGUGUGUAUGUGUGAGGUAUGUGGAGUGUGUGUGUGUGUAGAGAGUGUGUGGAGGGUGUAUGUAUGGGGUGUGGGAGGGUGUAUGCAUGUAUUGUGUGUAUGUGUGUGUGAUUUGUAUGUGUGAAUGUGUUUUUGUGUGUAGUGUGUGUGUGGAUGUUGUUUGGGAGUGUGUGUGUGGAUGUGAAUGUUUAGGUUCUGUGUGUGUGUGUUUGCGGAGUGUGUGGAGUGUGUAACAUGGUGUGUGUAUAUGUUUGGGGUGUGUGUGUAGAUAUGUGUGUGUGAGUGUGUGUGUUAUGGAGUGUGUGUAUAUGUAUGUUUGGGUGUGUGUGGGGUGUGUGUAUAGUGUGUGGGAGGUGUGAGUGCAUAUUGAGUGUGUGUAUAUGUGUAUGUUUCGGGAGGUUUGUGUGUGGAGUGUGUGUGUAGAGUGUGUGUGUAUGGGGUGUGUGUGUGUGGAGUGUGUGUGUAUGAAGCGUGUGUGGGGAGUGUGUGUGUAGAAUGUGUGUGUGGAGUGUGUGUAUGUUUGGGGGUGUGUGUAGGUGUGUGGAGAGUGUGUUUUGGGGUAUGUGUAUAAAGUGUGUGUAUAGUGUGUGUAUAGAGCGUGGUUGUUCCGUGGUAUAGAAUGUGUGUGAGUAUGUAUGUUUGGCUCGUGUGUGUAGUGUGCGUGCGGGUGUGUCUAUGUUUGUGUGUGUGUAGAGUGUGGUUGUUUGCGAUGUGUGUGGUGUGUGUGUAGAGUAUGUAUGUUUUGGGUUUGUGUAUGUGGAGUGUAUGUGUGGAUUGUGUGCCUGUGUGUAUGGGGUGUGUGUGGCGUGUGUGUAGAGUGUAUGUUGGGAUGUGUGUGUGGAGCGUGUGUGUGCACGUGUGUGUAUGUUUGUGUGUGUGUGUAGUAUGUGUGUAGUUUGUGUGUGUGUAUUUUUGGAUGUGUGUGUAUGGGUGUGUGUGUAAUGUGUGUGUAGUUUGCGCAUGUGUGUGUUUAUUUGGGUGUGUGUGUGUGGAGUGUGUGUGCAUGUUUGGGUGUGUGUCUAUUGUGUGCAUGUGUAUGUAUAUUGGGGUGUGUGUGUGUGGAGUGUGUGUGUACGUGUAUGUUUGGGUGUGUGUGGAGUGUGUGUGCGCGUGUGUGUGUAUGUUUGGGGUAUGUGUGUGUAGCGUGUCUGUGUGUGUGUUUGGAUGGGGAACGUUAUAAAGAGCACCAUUCUCAAAGCGCAGGGAAUUCGCGAGCCCUGGGGAUCGCUGGUCUACUUCCUAAGCAGCAAGGAAUGUUAUGCAUUUCAGCGCUUGCUAAGUCAGUGCGUCCUCAGAGAGGGCUUGCAGGCUCCAGGGAGGCCUGCAUAAGGAGUGAGGCCUGGGCCAAGCCCAACAGAAAGUGUCAAAUAACAGGCCUGCCCCUUCCCCACCCUCCACCCCCAGAUUUGGGCUGAAUCAAAGGGCCAUUCAAGCCCCUCCCUUUCACAGGCCGAGGCCAUCAGCGGGCCAUCCCCUGAGGGAAAUGAAUCUGCUUCAGUGCAUUGGAGGGGUAACCGCUCUUCCUGAAUGGUGUCGGGUAGGAGGAGGGAUACCUGUGUAUGUUCCUCUGUGGCGUCCCAAAUGCUCCUUCAUGAAUUGAGGAAUUGACUGGACAGUCAUUCCCCUAGACCUCACUACAAAUUAGACUUUUGUUCACCUGUUUCAAACGAAUGUUUUUUAGUGCUUUGCAUAGUGUGAAAAACAAUAACAAACCCCAGGGUUUGGGUCAUCUUGGAUGAGUCACUUGAAUCUCUGUGGCUCUCAGUUUCCUCUCUGUAAAAUGAAAGUGUAAACUAGAUCAGUGGUUUUCAAACAGUACUCUCCUGAGUCCUCCCUGAAGCUAGAACAACUAGGAGGAAGAGAAAUGGAAGAAUUAACUGAGCAAUUUAGCCCGUUUGCGUCUGUCGUCUUUGACUUCAGACCAUUUUCAAUACAAUCUGGUUGAGCAGUUAAUUCUAACAAACCUGGUUCUGGGAUUUGCUAAUCUCUCAACAAUUCCAGGUGACUCCCAAAGCAGGAGCCACAGUCUCUGCACGGGCUUGACCCAUAUUGUCAUGUUUUGGAAGGUGUGGAAGAUUCCUGCCAACAUCAUAGCAUCAUGUUAUUCUCAAGGAGACUAAGGAAGACUUAAAACAACCCAUGUGGGUGCAGAAGGUGGCCCCGUGGCCUGUGUUGAAGUGGGAUCUCACAGAUCCACAUUGUAUUUUCACAAAUACAUGUGAGAUUUUCCACGAGAUUCUGCAAGAAUUUCCCUGUGAGUCCUUUCUUGAGUUCCAAAGUUGGGUAAUGAUGAAACAGAAGAGUUCCCUGACCCCUCUCACAGGACGUGAAACAAGGGUGUGGCUUGUCUGUUAGAUUGCUGACACCACUCAAACCCCUUACAGGAUGGAAAGCAUGCAGAUGGGCAGGUGCAGGAGUCCAAGUGGGCACGUGUUACAAUGUGCUCUUUUAGCCGUCUGCGAAUGGCUUGAGUGUUAGCGAGCAAGGGCAGAGGGCCAGUGUGACAGCUUUAUGUAUCCCAAGCUCUUGUCCAGCAUCCUGGAAGAACUGGGUCACACAUGCACUUGAAGGAUAAAUGUGGGGGUCUUACUGAAUGGCGGAGGUGGCUCUCAGCAGGAUGGAUGGAGAACCUGAAGGGAGGACGGAGUAGGAAGAUGGGCUUCUCCUGGAGUUUGGCCUUCCGGCAGCUGAACCGCCCCGGGCUAAACUCUUAGUGUUGAGACAUUCCUCCUCUUCUCUCUUUCUGCCGCAGCAUUUUGACAUUCCUCUGCUUGUCUCCUUGUCUGCCCAUCUGCUUCUGGAACCUGGGGGUUUGGGGUUUAUAUGGGUACAGGAUAGGGGGGCAUGGCGGGCCAAAAGGCAAAUUUUGCAUUCAAAAACAGAAAUGCCUGUUUCCAUUUAGGGCCGAGGGUCUCUGGACUUCAGGGUGGGGCCUUUGCCAGGGAACCACCCUCUUCUACCCAGUAUUUCCCUGUCUCCUAUCCAUAUCAAUGAGGCUUUUCCUGUUUUCUAAAAUGCUUCAGUUAUUCACUAGUCUAGAAGUUAAAAUCAUUAGAGUUGUUGCUUGUUAACCUACUCUAUGGAUCCUCUCUCUUGUCUUGAGAUCAGAAACCAUGGCUUUUCACUAUGAAUCCCCAGACCUGGCAAAGUCCUUGCCCUACAGAGGUGACUGUUUUCCAAAAAUAGAAACAGCAGUAUUUCCAGUUUCACAUGUUUUUCCACAAACUUUCCAUUUCCCAUCAUGAGGCAGAAUCUAUUCGUCUUCUCCAGAGACUCAGGAUUGGGGAAGGGCUGACUCCGUGACUGUCUUGAUAAUUGGAAUGCUACAGAUUGCUUGACUUCCAAGGCUAUGUUAUAAAAAGCAAUUAGGCUUCUGCCUGCAGCUCUCUCCCUAGGGAUGUUCACCCUUGAAACCAGCCACUGGGUUAUGAGGAAGCCUCAACUAGCUCAUGUGGAGGGUGAAAGAUGCCCCCAGCCAACAGCCAGCUUCACCCACCAGGAUAGAUGAGUGAAUUAAUGAGCCUUCAGUUGAUCCCAUCCUCCAGUUCUCAAGUCUUCCAGCUGAAUCCUCAGACAUUGCAGAGCAGAGACGGGGUAUCCUUGGUGUGCCAUGGCCAAGUCUUAACCCACACAGUUGAGUCU
rnacentral:lncRNA from 1 species